UACGGAGGGGGCUAGCGUUGUUCGGAAUUACUGGGCGUAAAGCGCACGUAGGCGGCUUUGUAAGUUAGAGGUGAAAGCCCGGGGCUCAACUCCGGAACUGCCCUUAAGACUGCAUCGCUAGAAUUGUGGAGAGGUGAGUGGAAUUCCGAGUGUAGAGGUGAAAUUCGUAGAUAUUCGGAAGAACACCAGUGGCGAAGGCGACUCACUGGACACAUAUUGACGCUGAGGCACGAAAGCGUGGGGAGCAAACAGG
rnacentral:rRNA from 1 species